rnacentral:rRNA from 1 species
GAUCAUGGCUCAGGAUGAACGCUAGCUACAGGCUUAACACAUGCAAGUCGAGGGGCAGCAUGGUCUUAGCUUGCUAAGGCCGAUGGCGACCGGCGCACGGGUGGGUAACACGUAUCCAACCUGCCGUCUACUCUUGGACAGCCUUCUGAAAGGAAGAUUAAUACAAGAUGGCAUCAUGAGUCCGCAUGUUCACAUGAUUAAAAGGGUAUUCCGGUAGACGAUGGGGAUGG